UACGUAGGGGGCUAGCGUUGUCCGGAUUUAUUGGGCGUAAAGAGCGUGUAGGCGGCCAGGUAGGUCUGGUGUGAAAACUCGAGGCUUAACCUCGAGAUGUCAUCGGAAACCAUUUGGCUAGAGUCCGGAAGAGGAGAGUGGAAUUCCUGGUGUAGCGGUGAAAUGCGCAGAUAUCGGGAAGAACACCCGUGGCGAAGGCGGUUCUCUGGGACGGUACUGACGCUGAGACGCGAAAGCGUGGGGAGCGAACAGG
rnacentral:rRNA from 1 species